rnacentral:rRNA from 1 species
UACGGAGGGUCCGAGCGUUAAUCGGAAUUACUGGGCGUAAAGCGCGCGUAGGCGGUUAGUUUAGCGAGAUGUGAAAUACCUGGGCUCAACCUGGGAAUUGCGUUUCGAACUGGCUAACUAGAGUGCAGUAGAGGGUGGUGGAAUUUCCAGUGUAGCGGUGAAAUGCGUAGAGAUUGGAAGGAACAUCAGUGGCGAAGGCGACUGCCUGGACUGACACUGACGCUGAGGUGCGAAAGCGUGGGGAGCAAACAGG